rnacentral:rRNA from 1 species
CCUACGGGUGGCAGCAGUGGGGGAUAUUGGACAAUGGGGGAAACCCUGAUCCAGCGACGCCGCGUGAGUGAAGAAGUAUUUCGGUAUGUAAAGCUCUAUCAGCAGGGAAGAAAGACAUGACGGUACCUGAGUAAGACGCCCCGACUAACUACGUGCCAGCAGCCGCAGUACUACGGAGGGAGCAAGCUUUAGCCGGAAUUACUGGGUGUAAAGGGAGCGUAGGCGGUAAUGCAAGUCUGGAGUGAAAGGCGGGGGCCCACCCCCCGGACUGCUCUGGAGACUGUGUAACUGGAGAGCAGGGGAGGCAGGCGGAAUGCCUAGUGUAGCGGUGAAAUGCGUAGAUAUUA